rnacentral:lncRNA from 1 species
GGGAUAAACUUGAAAUAACUUAAGAGAUAAGUUACUAAAAUGUAAAAGAGAUAAAGCUGAAUAUUCUAGGAGUUAUCUAGAAUAAAUGUAUUAGGAGUUAUCUAAUACAAGUCCUAAUUGAGUUAGGAUUAGGUCAAUAGCUUUUGUUAUAUAAGGAGGUAUCAAGGUGUGAUACAACUUAUGAGAUUGAGUUUUAGUUUGAGUAAUUUCUAAAGCUUAAUAAAAGAG